GUGAAAUUGUAGUAUCGGUGAAGAUGCCGAUUACCCGCGAUGGGACGAAAAGACCCCGUGAACCUUUACUGCAGCUUAACGUUGUGACCGGGCAGCGGAUGUGUAGGAUAGGCCGGAGGCUAUGAAGCGGGCACGCCAGUGCUUGUGGAGCCGCCGUUGAAAUACGGCCCUUCCUCUGUCUGGUCCCUAACCCGCGAUGCGGGGACCGCGUUUGGCGGGCAGUUUGACUGGGGUGGUCGCCUCCAAAAGCGUAACGGAGGCUUCUAAAGGUGCCCUCAGGCCGAUUGGUAACCGGCCGCAGAGUGUAAUGGCAAAAGGG
rnacentral:rRNA from 1 species